rnacentral:rRNA from 1 species
GGGGAAUAUUGGGCAAUGGGCGAAAGCCUGACCCAGCAAUGCCGCGUGGGUGAAGAAGGUCUUCGGAUUGUAAAGCCCUUUCGGCGGGGACGAUGAUGACGGUACCCGCAGAAGAAGCCCCGGCUAACUUCGUGCCAGCAGCCGCGGUAAUACGAAGGGGGCUAGCGUUGCUCGGAAUUACUGGGCGUAAAGGGCGCGUAGGCGGCCCACAUAGUCAGGCGUGAAAUUCCUGGGCUCAACCUGGGGGCUGCGCUUGAUACGUGUGGGCUUGAGGACAGGAGAGGCUCGUGGAAUUCCCAGUGUAGAGGUGAAAUUCGUAGAUAUUGGGAAGAACACCGGUGGCGAAGGCGGCGAGCUGGCCUGUAACUGACGCUGAGGCGCGACAGCGUGGGGAGCAAAC